rnacentral:rRNA from 1 species
CCUACGGGAGGCAGCAGUGGGGAAUAUUGGACAAUGGGGGGAACCCUGAUCCAGCCAUGCCGCGUGUGUGAAGAAGGCCCUCGGGUUGUAAAGCACUUUCAGUGGGGAAGAACGCCUGGUGGUUAAUACCGAUCAGGAAAGACAUCACUCACAGAAGAAGCACCGGCUAACUCCGUGCCAGCAGCCGCGGUAAUACGGAGGGUGCGAGCGUUAAUCGGAAUUACUGGGCGUAAAGCGCGCGUAGGUGGCUUGAUAAGCCGGUUGUGAAAGCCCCGGGCUCAACCUGGGAACGGCAUCCGGAACUGUCAAGCUAGAGUGCAGGAGAGGAAGGUAGAAUUCCCGGUGUAGCGGUGAAAUGCGUAGAGAUCGGGAGGAAUACCAGUGGCGAAGGCGGCCUUCUGGACUGACACUGACACUGAGGUGCGAAAGCGUGGGUAGCAAACAGGAUUAGAUACCCUGGUAGUC